rnacentral:rRNA from 1 species
GUGCCAGACUCCUACGGGAGGCAGCAGUGGGGAAUAUUGCGCAAUGGGCGAAAGCCUGACGCAGCGACGCCGCGUGAGGGAUGAAGGUCUUCGGAUCGUAAACCUCUGUCAGGAGGGAAGAAGUGGUUAUAUGCGAAUAGUGUAUGACUUUGACGGUACCUCCAAAGGAAGCACCGGCUAACUCCGUGCCAGCAGCCGCGGUAAUACGGAGGGUGCGAGCGUUAUCCGGAUUUAUUGGGUUUAAAGGGUGCGUAGGCGGUUUUUUAAGUUAGUGGUUAAACGUCGGGGCUUCACCUUGAUUUGCCAUUAAUACUGUAAGACUCGAGUUCAGACGAGGUAGGCGGAAUAAGCUAAGUAGCGGUGAAAUGCUUAGAUAUAACUUAGAACUCCGAUAGCGAAGGCAGCUUACCAGACUGCGACUGACGCUGAAGCACGAGAGCGUGGGUAGCGAACAGGAUUAGAUACCCUCGUAAGA